UAGGGAAUCUUCCACAAUGGACGCAAGUCUGAUGGAGCAACGCCGCGUGAGUGAAGAAGGCUUUCGGGUCGUAAAACUCUGUUGUUGGAGAAGAAUGGUCGGCAGAGUAACUGUUGUCGGCGUGACGGUAUCCAACCAGAAAGCCACGGCUAACUACGUGCCAGCAGCCGCGGUAAUACGUAGGUGGCAAGCGUUAUCCGGAUUUAUUGGGCGUAAAGCGAGCGCAGGCGGUUUUUAAGUCUGAUGUGAAAGCCCUCGGCUUAACCGAGGAAGCGCAUCGGAAACUGGGAAACUUGAGUGCAGAAGAGGACAGUGGAACUCCAUGUGUAGCGGUGAAAUGCGUAGAUAUAUGGAAGAACACCAGUGGCGAAGGCGGCUGUCUGGUCUGUAACUGACGCUGAGGCUCGAAAGCAUGGGUAGCGAACAGGAUUAGAUACCCUGGUAGUCCAUGCCGUAAACGAUGAAUGCUAGGUGUUGGAGGG
rnacentral:rRNA from 1 species